rnacentral:lncRNA from 1 species
CUCAGAUCUGAGGAAACCUUGACUACUGGUCACCAGAAAGGAAAGAUUCCUUUCUUCAGACUUUAGUUCAAAAACUCCUCUAAUUUGGUCUUGAUUGGGUCAUGUGUCCACCCUUGAAGACUAGUCCCUGUGGUUAAGGAGUAGACACUAUGAUUAAGCCAGCUGACCUCAAUGCCACCCGGAGGACACCAACUACUGAGGCCAGCAGAGGGUUGGGUAACUUGAUGUCUUCUUCCAUUCUGAUACUUACCAUGAUCCAAGUUCUGGACAACCUUACAUUCACUACAGACCAGAGUUACACAAAGCUACUUAGUCCUUACCAAUCCCUCAAGGUAUGAGGAAGCCAAGACUUCAAGAUGCAAUGAGACCAACACUGACAUCUAAAAGGCCCUCACAAUUAUUGCCUGUUUAGCUCAUUUUUAAAAAAUUCUAAAUUCUAAAUUCCAGGUUUUUAUUGUUGUUUAUUUAUUUGUGUUGUCUUUGAAAGAUUGUCUCUGACCAUUCCGAUCCAACAUGAAUUUUUUUCUUCUUUGAAUUCCUAUGGCACUAUUUUUUCCCCUGUUACUAUAGAUUGAAUCUAGGGUGACUCUUCUAUAGAGCCACAUCUGGAGACCUUUUUAUUUUGUAUUUUUGAACCAGUUACUUACAUUGUCUCAGCUGGUCUCAAACUUGAGAUCCCCACCUCAGCAUCCUAAGGUCUUUGGGAUUACAGGCAUGGGCCAUAGUACCAAGCUUUUUGACAUUUUUUAUUGCUUGGUUUGGGGCAUAUUGACC